rnacentral:rRNA from 1 species
UACGUAGGGGGCUAGCGUUGUCCGGAAUCAUUGGGCGUAAAGCGCGUGUAGGCGGUCCGGUAAGUCCGCUGUGAAAGUCGAGGGCUCAACCCUCGAAUGCCGGUGGAUACUGUCGGGCUUGAGUACGGGAGAGGCGAGUGGAAUUCCUGGUGUAGCGGUGAAAUGCGCAGAUAUCAGGAGGAACACCGAUUGCGAAGGCAGCUUGCUGGAACGUUACUGACGCUGAGACGCGAAAGCGUGGGGAGCAAACAGG